CUACGUGCCAGCAGCCGCGGUAAUACGAGGGCCCCAAGCGUUAUCCGGAAUUACUGGGCGUAAAGCGUCUGUAGGUGGUUUUUUAAGUUUCGUAUGAAACUCCAGGGCUCAACCCUGGAUUGUGCGAAAAACUGGGGAACUUGGGUGUGGGAGAGGCAAGCAGAACGGUAUGAGUAGGGGUGCAAUCCGUUGAUACAUACCAGAAUACCAAAAGCGAAGGCAGCUUGCUGGAACACUACUGACACUGAGAGACGAAAGCGUGGGGAGCGAAAGGGAUUAGAUACCCCUGUAGUCCACGCCCUAAACGAUGGAUGCUAGGUGUUGGACGUAAGUUCAGUGCUCAAGCUAACGCAUUAAGCAUCCCGCCUGAGGAGUACGGCCGCAAGGUUAAAACUCAAAUGAAUAGACGGGGACCCGCACAAGCAGUGGAUCAUGUGGUUUAAUUCGACAAUAAACGAGGAACCUCACCUAGGCUUGACAU
rnacentral:rRNA from 1 species